GACGAACGCUGGCGGCGUGCUUAACACAUGCAAGUCGAACGGAAAGGCCUGCUUUCCCUUGUGGAUUGCGGGUACUCGAGUGGCGAACGGGUGAGUAACACGUGAGUGAUCUGCCCCCAACUUGGGUAUAAGCCUGGGAAACUGGGUCUAAUUCCCGAUAGGACUGCAGGGUGGUGCCUGUGGUGGAAAACGAUUUUCUAGUGGUUGGGGAUGAGCUCGCGGCCUAUCAGCUUGUUGGUGGGGUAAUGGCCUACCAAGGCGGCGACGGGUAGCCGGCCUGAGGGAGUGGACGGCCACAUUGGGAGUGAGAUACGGCACAGACUCCUACGGGAGGCAGCAGUGGGGAAUAUUGCAAAAUGGGCGGAAGCCUGAUGCAGCGACGCCGCGUGGGGGAUGACGGCCUUCGGGUUGUAAACUCCUUUCGACCGCGAGGAAGCCACCUGGUUGGAAGGGUGGUGACGGUAGUGGUAGAAGAAGCACCGGCUAACUACGUG
rnacentral:rRNA from 1 species